CCUACGGGUGGCAGCAGUAGGGAAUCUUUCACAAUGGGCGAAAGCCUGAUGGAGCAACGCCGCGUGCAGGAUGAAGGCCUUCGGGUUGUAAACUGCUUUUAUAAGCGAGAAAUAUGAUGGUAACUUAUGAAUAAGGAUCGGCUAACUACGUGCCAGCAGCCGCGGUCAUACGUAGGAUCCGAGCAUUAUCCGGAGUGCCUGGGUGUAAAGAGUUGCGUAGGUGGCAUAAUAAGUAGCUAGUGAAAUCUGGUGGCUCAACCAUUCAGACUAUUAGCUAAACUGUUAAGCUCGAGACCGUUAGGGGUAACUGGAAUGUCUAGUGUAGGAGUGAAAUGCGUAGAUAUUAGAAGGAACACCAAUAGCGUAGGCAGGUUACUGGGACGGUUCUGACACUGAGGCACGAAAGCGUAGGGAGCAAACGGGAUUAGAUACCCCAGUAGUC
rnacentral:rRNA from 1 species